UGAUAAUGAUGAGGGAAAUUCCUAAGCAUAACCUUGAACCUUUCCUAAGCUUGGUAAAGAUUCUCUCCAUCUUUUUACCUGAGACUCAGAAUCUCACUUCUCAAAUG
rfam:Capsicum annuum cultivar Zunla-1 chromosome 2, whole genome shotgun sequence